rnacentral:rRNA from 1 species
UACAGAGGGGGCAAGCGUUAUUCGGAAUUAUUGGGCGUAAAGGGCGCGUAGGCGGCUUUGCAAGUGACGGGUGAAAGCCCUCGGCUUAACCGAGGAACUGCCUGUCAGACUGUAAGGCUUGAGACCGGGAGAGGUGAGUGGAAUUCCCAGUGUAGCGGUGAAAUGCGUAGAUAUCAGGAAGAACACCAAUGGCGAAGGCAGCUCCCUGGGACGGUACUGACGCUGAGACGCGAAAGCGUGGGGAGCGAACAGG